GUAAGCCUGCGAAGGUGGUUCGAGAGGACUGCUGGAGGUAUCAGAAGUGCGAAUGCUGACAUGAGUAACGUUAAAGCAGGUGAAAAGCCUGCUCGCCGUAAGCCCAAGGUUUCCUGCUCUACGUUCAUCGGAGCAGGGUGAGUCGGCCCCUAAGGCGAGGCUGAGAAGCGUAGCUGAUGGGAACAAGGUUAAUAUUCCUUGACCGCCGUUGAGUGCGAAGGGGGGACGGAGUGUUGAAGAUCAUCCGGGUGUUGGAUGUCCCGGUUUGUGAACGUAGGAGGCCGGCAGGCAAAUCCGCCGGCAAAUCUCCGAGGUGAAGCAUCGAGGUCCGUACGGACCGAAGUGAUCGGAUGGGCUCCCAGGAAAAGCCUCUAAGCUCCAGCUCAACGGGACCGUACCGCAAACCGACACUGGUGGGCGAGCUGAAUAUGCUCAGGCGCUUGAGAGAACUCAGGAGAAGGAACUCGGCAAAUUGACACCGUAACUUCGGGAUAAGGUGUGCCUCGGUAGCGUGAAGGAAGAAACAUCCGGAGCGUGAAGAGGUCUCAGAGAAUCGGUGGCUGCGACUGUUUACUAAAAACACAGCACUCUGCAAAGACGAAAGUCGACGUAUAGGGUGUGAUGCCUGCCCGGUGCUGGAAGAUUAAUUGAUGGGGUGCAAGCUCCUGAUCGAAGUCCCAGUAAACGGCGGCCGUAACUAUAACGGUCCUAAGGUAGCGAAAUUCCUUGUCGGGUAAGUUCCGACCUGCACGAAUGGCAUAAUGAUGGCCACACUGUCUCCUCCCGAGACUCAGUGAAGUUGAAAUGUUUGUGAUGAUGCAAUCUCCCCGCGGCUAGACGGAAAGACCCCAUGAACCUUUACUGUAGCUUUGCAUUGGACUUUGAACCGAUCUGUGUAGGAUAGGUGGGAGGCUGUGAAACCGGGACGCCAGUACCGGUGGAGCCGUCCUUGAAAUACCACCCUGAUUUGUUUGAGGUUCUAACCUAGGUCGGUAAUCCCGAUCGGGGACCGUGCAUGGUAGGCAGUUUGACUGGGGCGGUCUCCUCCUAAAGGGUAACGGAGGAGUGCGAAGGUACGCUAGGUACGGUCGGAAAUCGUGCUGAUAGUGCAAUGGCAAAAGCGUGCUUGACUGCGAGACCCACAAGUCGAGCAGAUACGAAAGUAGGUCAUAGUGAUCCGGUGGCUCUGUAUGGAAGGGCCAUCGCUCAACGGAUAAAAGGUACUCUGGGGAUAACAGGCUGAUACCGCCCAAGAGUUCAUAUCGACGGCGGUGUUUGGCACCUCGAUGUCGGCUCAUCUCAUCCUGGGGCUGUAGCCGGUCCCAAGGGUAUGGCUGUUCGCCAUUUAAAGAGGUACGUGAGCUGGGUUUAAAACGUCGUGAGACAGUUUUGUCCCUAUCUGCCGUGGGCGCUGGAAGAUUGACGGGGGCUGCUCCUAGUACGAGAGGACCGGAGUGGACUCACCUCUGGUGUACCGGUUGUCACGCCAGUGGCAUUGCCGGGUAGCUAUGUGGGGAAGAGAUAACCGCUGAAAGCAUCUAAGCGGGAAACUUGCCUGAAGAUAAGUCUUCCUGGAGGCUUGACCUCCCUAAAGAGUCGUUCGAGACCAGGACGUUGAUAGGUUGGGUGUGUAAGCGCUGUGAGGCGUUGAGCUAACCAAUACUAAUUGCUCGUGCAGCUUGAUCCU
rnacentral:rRNA from 1 species